rnacentral:ncRNA from 1 species
UUAGCAUAUAUGUGAGUCACUGGACACUAAAGAACCCAAAGGCUUACUGAAGGUAAGGGUUCGACUUGUCCGGAUGAAGGUGAGAUCCUGUUGUUUUGCUCAUAAAUUCCAAGAUGCUAGAAGCGGGCAUACCACCGGCCUUCUUAUGACGUAGACCUGUGCUCUGUCAAGGAGAAGCAAAAACUUACUUACUAAGAACUGAGAGAUGAUGAACUAUGCUUUAGAAAGUUUAGUCUAGAGGAAACUCUGAUGCAGGACAGUAGCGAUUCUGAUGUGCAAAUCAACCGUUUAACUUGAGUAUGAGGGGUGAAAGAUUAAUCGAACCAUCUUCUGG